GAGGGGGAUCUCGGAUACUGGGCGUAAGCGCGUGUAGGCGGCCUCCUCAGUCUGGUGUGAAAGCCCGGGGCUCACCCCCGGAAGUGCAUUGGAUACUGGGAGGCUGGAGUACCGGAGAGGAGGGUGGAAUUCCUGGUGUAGCGGUGAAAUGCGCAGAUAUCAGGAGGAACACCGAUGGCGAAGGCAGGUCUCUGGGCAUUAACUGACGCUGAGGAGCGAAAGCAUGGGGAGCGAACAGGAUUAGAUACCCUGGUAGUCCAUGCCGUAAACGUUGGGCACUAGGUGUGGGGGACAUUCCACGUUUUCCGCGCCGUAGCUAACGCAUUAAGUGCCCCGCCUGGGGAGUACGGCCGCAAGGCUAAAACUCAAAGGAAUUGACGGGGGCCCGCACAAGCGGCGGAGCAUGCGGAUUAAUUCGAUGCAACGCGAAGAACCUUACCAAGGCUUGACAUGGGCCGGACCGGGCUGGAAACAGUCCUUCCCCUUUGGGGCCGGUUCACAGGUGGUGCAUGGUUGUCGUCAGCUCGUGUCGUGAGAUGUUGGGUUAAGUCCCGCAACGAGCGCAACCCUCGUUCCAUGUUGCCAGCGCGUAAUGGCGGGGACUCAUGGGAGACUGCCGGGGUCAACUCGGAGGAAGGUGGGGACGACGUCAAAUCAUCAUGCCCCUUAUGUCUUGGGCUUCACGCAUGCUACAAUGGCCGGUACAAAGGGUUGCGAUACUGUGAGGUGGAGCUAAUCCCAAAAAGCCGGUCUCAGUUCGGAUUGGGGUCUGCAACUCGACCCCAUGAAGUCGGAGUCGCUAGUAAUCGCAGAUCAGCAACGCUGCGGUGAAUACGUUCCCGGGCCUUGUACACACCGCCCGUCAAGUCACGAAAGUUGGUAACACCCGAAGCCGGUGGCCUAACCCCUUGUGGGAGGGAGCUGUCGAAGGUGGGACUGGCGAUUGGGACUAAGUCGUAACAAGGUAAC
rnacentral:rRNA from 1 species